rnacentral:rRNA from 1 species
AUUGAACGCUGGCGGCAGGCCUAACACAUGCAAGUCGAGCGAGCGGCGGACGGGUGUGUAAUGUCUGGGAACCUGCCUUAUGGAUGGGGAUAACUACUGGAAACGGUAGCUAAUACCGCAUACCAUCAGAUGUUACCAGAUGGGAUUAUCUAGUAGGUGGGGUAAUGGCUCACCUAGGCCACGAUCCCUAGCUGGUCUGAGAGGAUGACCAGCCACACUGGAACUGAGACACGGUCCAGACUCCUACGGGAGGCAGCAGUGGGGAAUAUUGCGCAAUGGGCGCAAGCCUGAUGCAGCCAUGCCGCGUGUAUGAAGAAGGCCUUCGGGUUGUAAAGUACUGUCAGCGGGGAGGCGUUACUCGCAGAGGAAGCACCGGCUAACUCCGUGCCAGCAGCCGCGGUAAUAC